rnacentral:rRNA from 1 species
CCUACGGGGGGCUGCAGUAGGGAAUCUUCGGCAAUGGACGAAAGUCUGACCGAGCAACGCCGCGUGAGUGAAGAAGGUUUUCGGAUCGUAAAACUCUGUUGUUAGAGAAGAACAAGGAUGAGAGUAAAAAGUUCAUCCCUUGACGGUAUCUAACCAGAAAGCCACGGCUAACUACGUGCCAGCAGCCGCGGUAAUACGUAGGUGGCAAGCGUUGUCCGGAUUUAUUGGGCGUAAAGCGAGCGCAGGCGGUUUCUUAAGUCUGAUGUGAAAGCCCCCGGCUCAACCAUUGUGUGCAUUGGAAACUGUUAGACUUGAGUGCAGUAGAGGAGAGUGGAAUUCCAUGUGUAGCGGUGAAAUGCGUAGAUAUAUGGAGGAACACCGGUGGCGAAAGCGGCUCUCUGGACUGUAACUGACACUGAGGCUCGAAAGCGUGGGUAGCA